rnacentral:rRNA from 1 species
GAUGAACGCUAGCUACAGGCUUAACACAUGCAAGUCGAGGGGAAACGACAUCGAAAGCUUGCUUUUGAUGGGCGUCGACCGGCGCACGGGUGAGUAACGCGUAUCCAACCUGCCCACCACUUGGGGAUAACCUUGCGAAAGUAAGACUAAUACCCAAUGACGUCUCUAGAAGACAUCUGAAAGAGAUUAAAGAUUUAUCGGUGAUGGAUGGGGAUGCGUCUGAUUAGCUUGUUGGCGGGGUAACGGCCCACCAAGGCAACGAUCAGUAGGGGUUCUGAGAGGAAGGUCCCCCCACAUUGGAACUGAGACACGGUCCAAACUCCUACGGGAGGCAGCAGUGAGGAAUAUUGGUCAAUGGGCGAGAGCCUGACCAGCCAAGUAGCGUGCAGGAUGACGGCCCUAUGGGUUGUAAACUGCUUUUAUAGGAUAAAGUGAGUCUCGUGAGACUUUUUGCAUGUACCUUAUGAAUAAGGACCGGCUAAUUCCGUGCCAGCAGCCG